AAUAAAGGCAAAUAACCCAAACUUCGCUGUCCUAAAGAAUAUACAAUUUUUCCUAGCUGAUUUGGAAAACUGUGCAGGCUCUGUGUUAUGGGUGCCAGCAGAUACCGCAGCAAGGAAAGCUACCCAGGAUGGAGUCAGUACCAUGGCAUCUGGGAGGUGUGAAUGUGUCUAUCAAGAUUUCUUCAAUUAGAGUGCCUCCUAGAACUAUUGUUUAUGGAAGCUGGCAUUGGGAAGACAUAAAGUUAAGACAUAAAGGUAAGAUAAGAGGAAAAUGUUCAAUUUAUAUGUCUGAGUUUUAUAGCUUAGUUCAUUUAUUCCUUCAUUCAUUCAUCAAAUAUACCUAG
rnacentral:lncRNA from 1 species